UACCAGCACCCCGAGUGGUCGGGACGAUUAUUGGGCCUAAAGCAUCCGUAGCCGGUCCUACAAGUCUUCCGUUAAAUCCACCUGCUUACAGAUGGGCUGCGGAAGAUACUAUAGGGCUAGGAGGCGGGAGAGGCAAGCGGUACUCAGUGGGUAGGGGUAAAAUCCUCUGAUCCAUUGAAGACCACCAGUGGCGAAGGCGGCUUGCCAGAACGCGCUCGACGGUGAGGGAUGAAAGCUGGGGGAGCAAACCGG
rnacentral:rRNA from 1 species